rnacentral:rRNA from 1 species
UACGUAGGGUGCAAGCGUUGUCCGGAAUUAUUGGGCGUAAAGAGCUCGUAGGCGGUCUGUCGCGUCGGCUGUGAAAACUCGGGGCUCAACUCCGAGCUUGCAGUCGAUACGGGCAGGCUAGAGUUCGGCAGGGGAGACUGGAAUUCCUGGUGUAGCGGUGAAAUGCGUAGAUAUCAGGAGGAACACCCAUGGCGAAGGCAGCUAACUGGGCAUUAUCUGACGCUGAGGCGCGAAAGCGUGGGUAGCAAACAGG